rnacentral:rRNA from 1 species
UACGUAGGGGGCAAGCGUUGUCCGGAUUUAUUGGGCGUAAAGAGCGUGUAGGCGGCUUGGUAGGUCCGCUGUGAAAACUCGAGGCUCAACCUCGAGAUGUCGGCGGAAACCACUUGGCUAGAGUCCGGAAGAGGAGAGUGGAAUUCCCGGUGUAGCGGUGAAAUGCGCAGAGUAUCGGGAAGAACACCUAUGGCGAAGGCAGCUCUCUGGGACGGUACUGACGCUGAGACGCGAAAGCGUGGGGAGCGAACAGG